CAUGCAGUCGAGCGGAAUUUUGAAAAGCUUGCUUUUCNAAACUUAGCGNNGGACGAGGUGAGUAACACGUGGGCAACCUGCCCUUGAGACGGGGAUAACUCCNGGAAACCGGAGCUAAUACCGGAUAACACAUAUCUUCNCAUGANGAUAUGUUANAAGGUGGCUUUUAGCUACCACUCAAGGAUGGGCCCGCGGCGCAUUANCUAGUUGGUGAGGUAACGGCUCACCAAGGCGACGAUGCGUANCCGACCUGAGAGGGUGAUCGGCCACACUGGGACUGANACACGGCCCAGACUCCUACGGGAGGCAGCAGUAGGGAAUCUUCCGCAAUGGACGAAAGUCUGACGGAGCAACGCCGCGUGAGUGAUGAAGGUUUUCGGAUCGUAAAGCUCUGUUGUUAGGGAAGAACAAGUAUCUGUUGAAUAAGCAGGUACCUUGACGGUACCUAACCAGAAAGCCACGGCUAACUACGUGCCAGCNGCCNCGGUAAUNCAAA
rnacentral:rRNA from 1 species